rnacentral:rRNA from 1 species
CCUACGGGAGGCAGCAGUAGGGAAUCUUUGACAAUGGGCGAAAGCCUGAUGGAGCAACGCCGCGUGCAGGAUGAAGGCCUUCGGGUUGUAAACUGCUUUUAUAAGCGAGAAAUAUGAUGGUAACUUAUGAAUAAGGAUCGGCGAACUACGUGCCAGCAGCCGCGGUCAUACGUAGGAUCUGAGCAUUAUCCGGAGGGACUGGGUGUAUAGAGGUGCGUAGGUGGCAUAAUAAGUAGCUAGUGGAAUCUGGUGGCUCAACCAUUCAGACUAUUAUCUAAACUGUUAAGCUUGAGACCCGUAGGGGUAACUGGAAUGUCUAGUGUAGGAGUGAAAGCCGUAGAUAUUAGGAAGAACACCGAUAGCGUAGGCAGGUUACUGGGCCGCUUCUGACGCUAAGGCACGAAAGCGUAGGGAGCAAACGGGAUUAGAUACCCUUGUAGUC